rnacentral:misc_RNA from 1 species
GAUGAAGAACGCAGCGAAAUGCGAUAAGUAAUGUGAAUUGCAGAAUUCAGUGAAUCAUCGAAUCUUUGAACGCACCUUGCGCCCUUUGGCCAUUCCGAAGGGCAUGCCUGUUUGAGUAUCAUGAACACCUCAACUCUUCAUGGUUUUCCGUGAUGAGCUUGGACUUUGGGGGUCUUGCUGGCCUAUGGUCAGCUCCUCUAAAAUAAAUCAGCUUGCCAGUGUUUGGUGGGUAUCACAGGUGUGAUAACUAUCUACGCUUGUGGUUUUCCACCAGGUAACCUUCAGCAGUGGAGGUUCGCUGGAGCUCACAGAUGUGUGUCUCCUCAGUGAGGACAGCUCUUUGAAUGUUUGAUCUCAAAUCAGGUAGGACUACCCGCUGAACUUAAGCAUAUCAAUAAGCGGAGGA